rnacentral:rRNA from 1 species
CAAAUCCGGAAAACCAAGGCUGAGGCGUGAUGACGAGGCACUACGGUGCUGAAGCGACAAAUGCCCUGCUUCCAGGAAAAGCCUCUAAGCAUCAGGUAACAUCAAAUCGUACCCCAAACCGACACAGGUGGUCAGGUAGAGAAUACCAAGGCGCUUGAGAGAACUCGGGUGAAGGAACUAGGCAAAAUGGUGCCGUAACUUCGGGAGAAGGCACGCUGAUAUGUAGGUGAAGCGACUUGCUCGUGGAGCUGAAAUCAGUCGAAGAUACCAGCUGGCUGCAACUGUUUAUUAAAAACACAGCACUGUGCAAACACGAAAGUGGACGUAUACGGUGUGACGCCUGCCCGGUGCCGGAAGGUUAAUUGAUGGGGUUAGCGGCAACGCGAAGCUCUUGAUCGAAGCCCCGGUAAACGGCGGCCGUAACUAUAACGGUCCUAAGGUAGCGAAAUUCCUUGUCGGGUAAGUUCCGACCUGCACGAAUGGCGUAAUGAUGGCCAGGCUGUCUCCACCCGAGACUCAGUGAAAUUGAACUCGCUGUGAAGAUGCAGUGUACCCGCGGCAAGACGGAAAGACCCCGUGAACCUUUACUAUAGCUUGACACUGAACAUUGAGCCUUGAUGUGUAGGAUAGGUGGGAGGCUUUGAAGUGUGGACGCCAGUCUGCAUGGAGCCGACCUUGAAAUACCACCCUUUAAUGUUUGAUGUUCUAACGUUGGCCCGUAAUCCGGGUUGCGGACAGUGUCUGGUGGGUAGUUUGACUGGGGCGGUCUCCUCCUAAAGAGUAACGGAGGAGCACGAAGGUUGGCUAAUCCUGGUCGGACAUCAGGAGGUUAGUGCAAUGGCAUAAGCCAGCUUGACUGCGAGCGUGACGGCGCGAGCAGGUGCGAAAGCAGGUCAUAGUGAUCCGGUGGUUCUGAAUGGAAGGGCCAUCGCUCAACGGAUAAAAGGUACUCCGGGGAUAACAGGCUGAUACCGCCCAAGAGUUCAUAUCGACGGCGGUGUUUGGCACCUCGAUGUCGGCUCAUCACAUCCUGGGGCUGAAGUAGGUCCCAAGGGUAUGGCUGUUCGCCAUUUAAAGUGGUACGCGAGCUGGGUUUAGAACGUCGUGAGACAGUUCGGUCCCUAUCUGCCGUGGGCGCUGGAGAACUGAGGGGGGCUGCUCCUAGUACGAGAGGACCGGAGUGGACGCAUCACUGGUGUUCGGGUUGUCAUGCCAAUGGCACUGCCCGGUAGCUAAAUGCGGAAGAGAUAAGUGCUGAAAGCAUCUAAGCACGAAACUUGCCCCGAGAUGAGUUCUCCCUGACUCCUUGAGAGUCCUGAAGGAACGUUGAAGACGACGACGUUGAUAGGCCGGGUGUGUAAGCGCAGCGAUGCGUUGAGCUAACCGGUACUAAUGAACCGUGAGGCUUAACCUU